rnacentral:rRNA from 1 species
UACGUAGGGUCCGAGCGUUGUCCGGAUUUAUUGGGCGUAAAGAGCUCGUAGGCGGUUUCGUAAGUCGGAUGUGAAAACUCAGGGCUCAACCCGGAGACGCCAUCCGAUACUGCGAUGACUGGAGUCUGGUAGGGGAUCACGGAAUACCUGGUGUAGCGGUGAAAUGCGUAGAUAUCUGGAGGAACACCGGUGGCGAAGGCGGCAUCCUGGACCAUUACUGACACUGAAAAGCGAAAGCCAGGGGAGCAAACGGG